UCUCUUUCACUCCUCCUCCUCCUCCUCUUCCUCUCUGUCUGUUUAUCUUCAUCCCUUCCUUCCUUUUAAUUAAUGUCUAAGUUAUCUUUUAAUUGCUCAAGGUUCUUUCUAGUGUGUUUGUGGUGCCCAGCUCUGCUCACUAGUUUACUUUGUCACUGUAUAAUUGUCAGUCCCAGUUUGUUUUGUCACUGUAGAAUCGUCAGUCCCAGUUUGUUUAGUCACUGUAGAAUCGUCAGUCCCAGUUUGUUUAGUCACUGUAGAAUCGUCAGUCCCAGCCAGGCGCCUCUUCCAUGUAAAGAUAUCGGCAGCUUCCAGCCUUGCCGAUAUCUCAAUCCGUACGUCAAUGUGAAUUAACCGAAAUUCUAGUUAGUGUCUGCAUGGUGCUCUCUCUCAUGAUGCUUCUUUAAAAUUUCAGCCUCACUCACAGUCCGGGGUUAGUACUAUAUUUUGCCAUGAGUUAACCACCCCGUGAUGGCCAGUUUCAUGCACUAUAUAUAAGUAAUUUGCCUUUUGCAUGACCAUAAUUCUGCACCUGUGUCUAAGGCCCAGUUUCACAGUUCCCCAUGAUGAGUUAGUAAGCUCCCAAACCAAUACCAGAGCCUUCGAAAUUUUCUUGUACAGUGUCUGGAGUUUAUAUUCAAGUUCACUAAUUUGACGAAACUAUACAGGAAAGGUCUUGUGUGUUUAUGAUACGAAGGAAAGGGAAGAGAAGGAAGAUGAGAUUGAGAGACGAGUGAGCCGAGAUCCUGUUUAUAUUCUAGUUCACAAAUUUGACGAGACUAUACAGGAAAAGCUCUGUGUUUAUGAUAUGAAGGAAAGGGAAGAGAAGGGAGAUGAGAUUGAGAGAUGAGAUCGUGUUUAUAUUCAAGUCCACAAAUUUGAUGACACUAUACAGGAAAAGCUCUGUGUAUUUAGUGUCUCAUCGAAGACCUCACCAUUUGGAACUGUAUGGAAUUCUAUAGCUUGGUUCGGGAGUGUUACAAAGACCGUGUUGGACUGUGGAAGCGGCUCUUAAUGUUCCCUUUUCUAAUAUAUGCCUCUCUGUUUUGCAGGAUGCCGCGGCCGGACCAUGCAGAGGACUCAUCGCGACGACACCAACGGUUUGGUUAAGUGGGUUCUCUUGUGUGUGCGUCUGUGUGUGAAUGGCAGGCCUGCCGUAUGAUUGUGUGUGUGUGUGCGUUGGCGGUAUGCCUUCGCGCUAUGAUUUCGUUAGGAUGUAUUUUUUUGUGUGUGAACUUUUUGCACGUAAUCUUUUUUUAUACCCAUAGUUAGCGUUGUGUGUGUGUGGCUGUGUUCCGGGAGAUGGACGCCAGGGGACAUGGGCUGGGGGAGGCGCAUGUGACCUCCUCUGUCCGUGACCUCUUCAGCCGGGGAGACCGCGUGUUGUCCCGGCUGGAGAGACACGUUGAUGGAGGCGGCUGCAUGUGUCAUCCCUUGCCUGUAUCCUCUGGCGUCCAGAGGCGCGUAAGUGGAGAGCAUCGGCGCAGCGCGGGAGCAGCACGUCAGGGUGUAGGGUGUUUGUUUAGCUGGUGUUAGGGUGUUAGGUGUAACAACGGUUGGCUCUUUCACAGAACGGGUGUGAUUCCGUUCUGCGUUUGAGUCUUCCACCUUCAGACGGUCUCCCUCCGAGAUGUCUGAAGUUUUUUUUGUCGGUUUUCUCCGUAGGAGGAAGCCGGCUCUAGCUACUCUGGUCUCUCUUCCGGGGGCCAGAGCGGUCGGGCUCUGCUUGGCCAGGCGUGUUCUUUCGCGUUGUCUCCGUCGAAGUUUUGCCAGACUCUUCCGUAAGGUUGAGCCUGGCUUUUUUAUUAGGUGGAUCAGGCUGCCUUCUUCCAAGGAGUCUGAUGGGAGUGGAGUCUUUUUUUUGGUGUAUGUCUGUGGGUGCUUAGUGGGUAAGGGAGGGUGGGGUAGAAUGGUUGGUGGGCUGGAAGUGGGUUGGGGGAUGAACCUCCUGGGAUUUGGGUUGUGUCGAGCCUUACCGCCUGGUGUGUUGGGUAACCUUCACGCCAGGGGGGGGGUGCCAAGACCAUAUCCAUCUCCUGGUGCAGGGUGAUUCCCCUUUCCCAUGCCAACUGGCCCUCCUCCGUCUGCCUCCCCAAACCCCCGCUGAGUGCUUGUGUGUGUUAUUUUAUUUAGGAUGUCUUUUUUUUCUAUGCCUUUUUUCCGUGUGUUUAUACCCAAUAGCUAGCGUGUGUGUGUGUGGCAGUCCGGAGGCGCGUGCAGCGAGGACAUCACAUCACGUCACUACGGUAUAUCCACGGUAUUUGGUUUAGUGUGUGCUGUGUGUGUUUGUGUGUGUGAUGGCAGGCCUGCCGUGUGUUUGACCUUUUGCUGUGUGUUGCUGUGUGACUGCUAGGAUUUCAUUUCUAUGUAUGUUUUUUUCCCCAUAACCCCCUUCCUCCCUAGCUCUUUAGCUGUUGUCCCUGGUGAGGCGCUGGGUGGAUGCUGCCGGGCGAGCAACGGCGGUGGCGGUGUGCGACGCGGGAGCAGCUGAGGUUUGGGUAGCACUACGGUGCAGGUUAUGUAGGGUGUGUGAGUUUUUUUUUUGUGUGAGUGUCUUUUUUUUGUGUGGGGUGUUGGCGGGGGACUUAGCUAAUCACUGUGUCAGGAAGGCAUGGGCGUGGCCGUCUGUCCAUCAGGCCGACGGGCGGGUGUGCCACCUGGCAGUCAGGCUAGCAGGUGACAGGCAAGCUAUCUGGUGGUCAGGCUGUCAGUCGGGCCAUCAGAUAGGUAGGCAGGCCACCUUGCGGUCGGGUUGUCGGGCGGGCACCCCACCCUCGGUCAGGUAGGCAGGCAGCAGCGUCUACGCUGAGCCGUACGGCCACACGUACGAACGCACGGAACCCGUACGCUACGUUCCGCCGCACUGACGCUCGUCGUACCUCUGCUCGCACGCUUGCGGGCGGGUGGAGGGCGGGGGGCGGAUGGGCGGACGGGCGGGCGUACGUGGGAACGGGCGGGCGGACGGGUGGUCGGGCGGGUAGGGAGCCGGAGCAACGCUAGAAAGACGCGCAGAUAGAUGUCAGAUUCUCCCGUAGGGAGGUCUGGCAAGGUGAUAGUGUGGGCGGCGGGGUUUUACGCGGGUGAGUCCGUGUUAGAGCUUUGCUGCCAGGGUAGCUCCUUCUGAGCUGCCUGAACUGAGGACCAGUUUUCCUCACAGGAGGAGGCUGGUGGAGUCUAGGGUGUUAGGAUUUCAACGGUUGGCUCUUUCACAGAACGGGUGUGAUUCCGUUCUGCGUUUGAGUCUGCUGGCUUUGGGCGUCUCCCUCCGAGAUGUCGGUUAGGAUUUCUUUUUUUUAUAUGUCCGUGUGUGUAACUGUUGCCUUUUAGCCUGUUGUGUUCCUGAGCAGCAAGAAGAGGAGGCUGUGGUGACCCGCCCGAUGCGGAAGGCCUCUGGGCCUUCUCGGCGUGGGGCGCACCUCUCUGGCUGACUGGUUUAGGGAGGGCUUCCCGUCUGGCCGGCUGCAAGUUCAAUCCCAGGAUUGAACCCAUGGCUUGCCAGAUGGGGGGCUGCGCCUUUGACCAGGUGGCCGGGGAGGCGCCCCCUCGCUGGGCAGGGUCUGGGGGCCCUCCGUCUUGGGGAGGUCGCUGCAGCAGGAGGAGGUAACUACUGCUGGUUUUGUAAGGCAUUGUGGUUGAGAGCACCUUGCAGCUGUAACGUGAAUUUCGUUCCGUAAUAAACAAUGUACCGCCAUGCUGCCUGUCCUUCCUCCCUCCCAGUACUGUACGUAGGUCUGUGUGUGUGUUGCUUCUCCCUCCCCGCUCUUUUUUUGACAAAGAUAAAAAAAAUGCAGAUUUGCCGUGACCACUGGUUGUGGGCGG